rnacentral:misc_RNA from 1 species
GUAGGUGAACCUGCGGAAGGAUCAUUAACACGUUUUAACACACGUUACAUCAACCACGCGAACUUAUCAGUUUUGGGUUAACAGAGGGACUGACGACUUCUUCCCGAAAAGGGAAAAGUGAACUUCCUUCUUUCCCUUAUACUGUGUGUUUUUUGUCAUUUUUUGACAAACCUUAAUCACCCUUUUAUAUAAUUUUUUUCGGAGGUGAGAAAUCAUCCCUAAAAAAAUUAUAUGUGAUUUUUCCUUUUUCUAUUCAAAAGAUGCUUCCUAAUGGAGGCUAAUCUUUUAAUAACUAACUCAAAACAACUCUUAGCAACGGAUAUCUUGGUUCCC